rnacentral:lncRNA from 1 species
UAUAGAACGUGUAACUUCUCUGGAUGCUCUUGCUCUGUAAAAGUAGCUGGACUUGGUGCAUUUCAUGUGUAGAGGAGUCUUGUUGAAGAAGACCUAGCUGCAAUAAGGCAUCCUUGAGGAGGGCUGCUGGAGGCACUGAGAAAAUGCCACAGGGAGAAGAAAACCUCCAAUUGAAAUUUGUAGCAAUUUGAACUGAUUGAGAAGUCUCUUGGGCAGAACUUGGGAAACGGCAUGAAUCUGGUGUGCAGACUCCACACGUCGGGGAAGAAGGAAAGCCCUACUUAUUUUUGAAGCUGGGAGUCCACUGUGCCAUGUGAAGAAGGUGCUUGCUUUCCCUUCACGCUUCCACCAGAUUGUGAGUUUCCUGAGGCCUCCUCACCCAUGCCUCCUGAACAGUCCUCAGAACUGU